GACGAACGCUGGCGGCGCGCCUAACACAUGCAAGUCGAACGGAGCUGAGAGAAGCUUGCUUUUCUUAGCUUAGUGGCGAACGGGUGAGUAACGCGUGAGUAACCUGCCCUGGAGUGGGGGACAACAGUUGGAAACGACUGCUAAUACCGCAUAAGCCCACGAUCCGGCAUCGGAUUGAGGGAAAAGGAUUUAUUCGCUUCAGGAUGGACUCGCGUCCAAUUAGCUAGUUGGUGAGGUAACGGCCCACCAAGGCGACGAUUGGUAGCCGGACUGAGAGGUUGAACGGCCACAUUGGGACUGAGACACGGCCCAGACUCCUACGGGAGGCAGCAGUGGGGGAUAUUGCACAAUGGGGGAAACCCUGAUGCAGCGACGCCGCGUGGAGGAAGAAGGUUUUCGGAUUGUAAACCCCUGUCGUUAGGGACGAUAAUGACGGUACCUAACAAGAAAGCACCGGCUAACUACGUG
rnacentral:rRNA from 1 species